GAAGCAGAGGCAGUUGCUCCAUCUUUUUAGAAAAAAGAUGGAUGGUUAUUUUGGCCAACUUGUGUUCAUGCAAUGAAAGCUACCUAUAAUAAUUUUCCAAUUAUUGAUUCCUGCAACAAGCUUAGACUUAAAAGAGUUAAUGUGACUGGAGAUAAAGAAGUAUGUGCAGGAUUUAAUUUCAUGACUAAAGAGGACGCCGAAGAAGAAUUAAAGUUCUGGUGGAUUAAAGAUCGAGGAAUGACUUGGUUUUAACUGGUUUGCAUCUUAUGAACAAAGUACAUAAUAUGAUUUAAUUUGAUGAUUUAUAGAGACACCUAUUGAAGUAAGUUUUAUUUAGUUAA
rnacentral:lncRNA from 1 species